AGAAUCAACGCUGGCGGCGUGCCUAACACAUGCAAGUCGAACGAGAAAGUGGGAGCAAUCCCAUGAGUAAAGUGGCGCACGGGUGAGUAACACGUGACUAACCUACCCUUGAGUGGGGGAUAACCUAGGGAACCUGGGCUAAUACCGCAUAAUACCUACGGGUCAAAGGAGCAAUUCGCUUUAGGGAGGGGGUCGCGGCAGAUUAGUUAGUUGGCGGGGUAAUCGGCCCACCAAGACAGUGAUCUGUA
rnacentral:rRNA from 1 species